rnacentral:lncRNA from 1 species
UAGACUUUCCGAACAUAAGUAGUGCCAAGGACAAAAAAAGGGUGUUUUAGGCGUAGAGGUUUACAUUAUGGGUGUUCGAAUGAGGGGACAUAUCAAGGAAGUGUCCCUUGAAUGAAGGACAAAAUGGUGCUAGAAAAGUUCAACCGUGGAAGGAAGCGGGUGGAAUAAUGAGAUAAAGGAGAACUCACUCACUAAUGUUUUUGUGAAAAAGUCAAAGAAAUAGGGGUGUUUCACUUGUUGGACAAGAUAAGAUUCACUAAGUGAAUUUAUGAAAGUUUCUCCAUAGGUCUUAUUAUCGGAAUGAGCAAAUAACCUGUUGAACAAAUUUUUAAAGUUUUCCUUCCAG